CCGCUUCGUGUCCGACGGAGGGGGCGGGACUUGUGAAGGCGCGAGGAACUCGGCGGGAACUAAUGGGUUCGGGCGGCUGCUGGGUAGCGGGCCAGCAGAGGUGGGGCUGGCUGCUGGUGCCCUUGUACUCUCGGCUCGAGACCAGCUCAAAUCUUUGAGGAAAGGGUUACGUUGAGCUGAAGAACGCUGACUAGGAGGGACAGGGGUCCCAACAGAGGGAAGCAGAAAAGGAUGGAAAAAGGUGGGCCUGGCAGGACUUCCUCGAGAAACAAACUAAGCUAACGGAAUACAAGCAGGGGAGAGGAGCAGAGAGAGAAGCAGGCUCUCCGCUGAGCAAGGAGCCCAGGGCUCCAUCCCAGGACCCUGAGAUCAUGACCUGAGCGGAAGUCAGACACUUAACCAACAGAGCCACCCGGGUGCCCCCAUUGAGGUACUUCUGAGCAGAAGCUCCAAUGCAAACUUCCAUGAUCUAAUGGAACAAGCUACUACAAUCGUCAAAGGAGAGUUAAAUGUUCAGAUCACUUGCUCUGAGGCCAUUUAUGUCACAAGGAGCCCUGUAAAAAGGCCCACACGACAGAGCGCUGAAAGCUUCUGCCAACAGCCCUGUGAAUGGUCUUGAAAGUGCAUCCUCCAGCCCCAUUCAAAUCUUCAGAGACUGUUGUCUUGGCCGACAGCUUAACUGCAACCUCAUAGAAGACCCCAAACCAGACUAUGUACCCAGAAACUAUGUGAGAUAAUGUUUGUCGUUUUAACAUGCUAAAUUCGGGGGUAAUUCAUUACACAGAAAGUGAUAACUAAUACAAAUAGGAAUCAAUUAAUAUAGAGGAAGAGAUGUUGGAGGUCUGAGGAAGGAAGAUAAGGUACAAAGUAGUUUUGCAGAAGAGUAGAACCAGAGACUUGUACAAUUGCCAGAUGGCCUUAAGAAUGCAUGUGAGAUUCAGGAUUUUGAAUUUCAAGUGAGACUAGUCAGCAUGGUUGAGCAUUUUUCUUCAGUUGCAUGGUUACCGGCAGAAAGUAGGUGGAAAAAUUAAUUUUAAUCAGGGUUGAGCCUUUACCAAAAUGUUACUCUCAAGCAAGAAAUGAAGAUUUAGGAAGUUGAAGAGAGAUUAGUGCAAGGGAGUAAUUAAAUGACUGACCAUGAAACUUAAAAUAGGUUUUAAGGAAAGGGAGAACAAGUGAGAUGUAAGGCACAUUGUAAAGUUAGUAGGGUGAGGAGAUUGAAGGUUCCAGUGGAGGUCUAAGGUUUGUUAAAGCAGGAUGCUGGAAAGAAUGCCCUGAAAAGAUAAGAGGUGGGGAUCCAAGAGUGGGAUGCUUGAAACUGAGGGUAUGGGGGGAGCUGCAGAUAUCGGUACUGGCAAACUCCAUGGUAUGACCAAGGGAGGGAGUGCCGAAGUAAAUUAAGAUCACUGGAGAAAAAGAGGUCAUAGAAAUGAGGGGCCAAAGCAUUGAAUGGGCUGUUCCCAAGGUUAUCAAAAUCACCAAAAUAUAUGACCAAAAUAGUGUUGGUGAGAACCGGGAACAAUAGUCUUCCAGGAAUUUCGAGAAAAGAUCUGGAGGUUGGUAGAGGAGAAUAACUUGGAAAGCAGUGAGUGGUAUGGUCUAACAACAUUAGAUUCAAAGUGAGGGGUGAAGCUAAGAAAAAGGAGAGAGAAUGGUUUAUAAAUAGCAGUGAGCUAGAAGGUAACCCAUCCCACCUCCACCCAGAGGGAUAGGUAGCAGAAAAGAGCCACCUUUUGAGAGGGCCAGAGGGAGAUUGAUUUGCAUACUUCCAAACACACACACACACACACACACACACACACACACACACAGCCCUCAACACUGGGGAGAAGUGUGAUUAGGUAGCUCCUUGCUUUCUCUAAACCUCUAGCCUCCCACUAGCAGCUAUGCCAGUGGUUUCGUAUGAAUCUAUACUCUUGUUAUACCCAGGAAGCUUACAUCUCGGGCUCUGCUCCCAUUUUCUGACCUUUUCACACGGUUUAUCUUCUAUAUGGCCAGAGUUAGUUUCUCAGCAGGGAACUGUUUGCUCAGGAAUGUCUCUUUUCUUUAGAAACUUAAAAGAAUGCGUGUUUCUGGCACCAGAGUCUUGAGGUCCUGUACCACAGAACUCCUCCCCAGAGCUGGAUUAGCUCUGAUGUGUACGGCUGGGGGAUCCCUGGCCAUCUCUGCACAAAGCCCUGAGUCAUUGGGUCCUUGGCAGCAGUCCACUCCACACAGAACCAAUUGUUUGAUGAGCAGCGAGGGCAAUUUGCUCUUUGGUCGCCAUUAUCCUAUUUGUGGCUGACAGACCCACACUGGUAACGGAUCAGAAAACAUGGUGACUAGUUAGUCCAAAGGGCCGACCCCAAGGAAAAUUUCUCUAGAGACGGGACACCUGCCUAUUCCAUGCUCAUGGGAUCUGGAUGUUAGGAACUCAACCCCAGGCAGCUGAGUCAUACCUACUUUCACUUUCUUCCCCAAACCUGAAUUGGAUUUCCCAGGACUAACCAAUGUUCUGGGCUAUUUUCUGAAAGUAGACGAUAGCACUGUCCUUCUUUGAUCUUCUUCUUCCUUAGCCACCUCUGCAAAUAACCUUCCUAACUGGAAUCAUUGGUGAGGGUCCUUCUGCUUGCCUAUGCAGAUCGGGUGUUUGCAGCAACAUUUCAUCAUAAAUGGCACAAGUAGCAGAUCACUCAGUUGUCUCAAUAGCAUCUGCUAUCAUGAUCUUUGCAAAAGAUUCUUUAAUUUUGGAUUAGAGAAUGCAGAAGUCUUUCUCCUUUCUCUUGGUGAACAAUUAAAAUAAAAUCAGCAUAUGAGUCUCAGCGUCUCUCCGCAUUCCAAAAUACUCUUCCAGGAGGGACACAGAGAUGCACUUCCCAGAUCAUUAUUCUCUUCCUUUCCAUCAAGACACCUGCAGUAUUUCAAGGAGAUGGUCCAACCACAAGUUAAAGACCUUCUUAUUCCCUGUUGACACUUUCGAGCCUCUGGAAUAAGCCAACUCUCCAGGCUACCCCACCUCCAGACUUUGUAAAUAGGUGAGCAAAUGAAGCUCUUUAUGGCUAAUGCCGACUUGCAUUAGGUUUAAUACUGUUUAGAAUGUAAAGAGUUCUGAGAUGCACAAAAUAGAGAGAGUCAGUUGGUCAAGAGAAGAGAAUGGAGCAGAGAAGCAGGAAGAUUCAGAGUUACCUACAAAAAUUGAUUCUGGAAGCUGCCCCAGUGUUUGGGCUCUCCUACUCCAGAGCCAUACAAUACGCCUCUCCUUUGAUGGUAACUUCACUGGGUCAUCUGUUCUGCGAAGCCAAAGAAGCUUGACUUUGCCUUAAAGUUUGGUCAAAUGAUUUUAUCUAUCUAUAGGUGUUAUCUAUAUGAUUCACCAUACUUUUGACGGGUUUUGAAAAUGUACCUCUUAAAAUGCAAAAGUUGCUAUCAUUAAAGAUACUUUAAAAAUAUGGUGCAAGUUUUUAAAGCAAUGUCAGAAGAGGAAUCUAAACAACGUUUUCUAGAAUAAGAAGCAAGGCACUCAAGGUAACUGUUUGGAGAAACCCAAGCCAUUAAUUUGUGGGUGUUCUGCUUUGAUUGUUAUAAUAAUCCACUAUUAAUAGUCACAUUUUCUUUUUUUUUUU